GACGAACGCUGGCGGCGUGCUUAACACAUGCAAGUCGUACGGUAAGGCCCUUUCGGGGGUACACGAGUGGCGAACGGGUGAGUAACACGUGAGUAACCUGCCCACAACUUUGGGAUAACGCUAGGAAACUGGUGCUAAUACUGGAUAUGUGCUCCUGCUGCAUGGUGGGGGUUGGAAAGCUCCGGCGGUUGUGGAUGGACUCGCGGCCUAUCAGCUUGUUGGUGGGGUAGUGGCCUACCAAGGCGGCGACGGGUAGCCGGCCUGAGAGGGUGACCGGCCACAGUGGGACUGAGAUACGGCCCAGACUCCUACGGGAGGCAGCAGUGGGGAAUAUUGCACAAUGGGCGCAAGCCUGAUGCAGCAACGCCGCGGGCGGGAUGACGGCCUUCGGGUUGGAAACCGCUUUCAGCAGGGACGAAGCUUUUUGUGACGGUACCUGCAGAAGAAGCACCGGCUAACUACGUG
rnacentral:rRNA from 1 species